rnacentral:rRNA from 1 species
AUACGUAGGCACCAAGCGUUGUUCGGAGUUACUGGGCGUAAAGAGUGCGUAGGCGGUUCCGUAAGUUCGGUGUGAAAUCUCCCGGCUCAACUGGGAGGGUGCGCCGAAAAAUGCGGGGCUUGAGCAUGGGAGAGGAAAGUGGAAUUCCUGGUGUAGCGGUGAAAUGCGUAGAUAUCAGGAGGAACACCGGUGGUGUAGACGGCUUUCUGGACCAUUACUGACGCUGAGGCACGAAAGCGUGGGGAGCAAACAGGAUUAGAAACCCUAGUAGUCC